rnacentral:snRNA from 8 species
AUACUUACCUGGCAAGAGAGACACCGUGAUCAAGAAGGCGGUUCACCCAGGGCGACGCUCAGCCAUUGCACUCCGGCUGUGCUGACCCCUGUGAAUUUCCCAAAUGUGGAAAUCUCGAUUGCAUAAUUUCUGGUAGUGGGGGACUGCGUUCGCGCUCUCCCCUG